GGAGGGCAUUUAGGAUAGACAUGUGUCCCCUUUCUCCUCACCAUUCCAUAUACAUCCCUCUCAAAGCUAUGUGCUUGGUCGAAGAGGACAGCCCUCCCCGAAUAAAGAUGGAUGGUUUUUGGCCAAGAGUAAUAAGAGUAGCUGCCCCUCCAGAGCCCACACUCCUUGUCUUUGUCUCCUGUUAGGACAGCAGGACCAGCUGGCCUACAUGAGCUGUAUCCUCAGGUAUCCAGCCCUUUGU
rnacentral:snRNA from 1 species